rnacentral:rRNA from 1 species
AUUGAACGCUGGCGGCAGGCCUAACACAUGCAAGUCGAACGGUAACACGAAACUGUUUGUUGUUUCGCUUACGAGUGGCGUUCGGGUGUGUCAUGUUUGUGAAACUGCUUGAUGGAGGGGGUUAACUACUGGAAACGGUAGCUAAUACCGCUUAACUUCGCAAGACCAUAGAUGGGGACCCCCUGGCCUUUUUCCAUCUGCUGUGCCCAGGUGGGAUUAGCUGGUUGGUGGGGUAACGGCUCACCAAGGCGCCGAUCCGUAGCUGGUCUGAGAGGAUGACCAGCCACACUGGAACUGAGACACGGUCCAGACUCCUACGGGAGGCAGCAGUAGGGAAUAUUGCACAAUGGGCGCAAGCCUGACGCAGCAAUGCCGCGUGAGUGAGGAAGGCCUUCGGAUUGUAAAGGACUUUCAGUGGGGAGGAAAGGAGUAAAGAUGAAAAAUUGACUUAUUGACGGUACCCACAGAAAAAGAACCGGCUAACUCCGUG